rnacentral:rRNA from 1 species
CAUCCUUUAAAGAAAGCGUAAUAGCUCACUAGUCGAGUCGGCCUGCGCGGAAGAUUUAACGGGGCUAAAACUGAUAACCGAAGCUGCGGAUGCGUGAUUUAUCACGCAUGGUAGAGGAGCGUUCUGUAAGCCGUUGAAGGUGGAUUGAGAAGUCUGCUGGAGGUAUCAGAAGUGCGAAUGCUGACAUGAGUAACGAUAAUGAGGGUGAAAAACCCUCACGCCGGAAGACCAAGGUUUCCUGUCCAACGUUAAUCGGGGCAGGGUUAGUCGACACCUAAGGCGAGGCCGAAAGGCGUAGUCGAUGGAAAACAGGUUAAUAUUCCUGUACUUCUUAUAGUUGCGAUGGAGGGACGGAGUAGGCUAGAUCAGCGCGGCGAUGGUUGUCCGCGUUUAAGGCUGUAGGCAAGUGGCUUAGGUAAAUCCGGGCUGCUCACUUUAGUGUGAAUGCUGAGAGCUGAUGACGAACGCUUCUUUGUAAGCGUGAAGUGAUUGAUGCCAUGCUUCCAAGAAAAUCUUCUAAGCUUCAGACUAUAAGGAAUCGUACUCCAAACCAACACAGGUGGUCAGGUAGAGAAUACCCAGGCGCUUGAGAGAACUCGGGUGAAGGAACUAGGCAAAAUGGCACCGUAACUUCGGGAGAAGGUGCGCUCUCGCCGGUGAUGGGACUUGCUCCCUUAGCUAGUGAGAGCCGAAGUGACCAGGCCGCUGCGACUGUUUACUAAAAACACAGCACUCUGCAAACUCGUAAGAGGACGUAUAGGGUGUGACGCCUGCCCGGUGCCGGAAGGUUAAUUGAUGGGGUUAGCUUCGGCGAAGCUCUUGAUCGAAGCCCCGGUAAACGGCGGCCGUAACUAUAACGGUCCUAAGGUAGCGAAAUUCCUUGUCGGGUAAGUUCCGACCUGCACGAAUGGCGUAACGAUGGCGGCACUGUCUCCACCCGAGACUCAGUGAAAUUGAAAUUGCGGUUAAGAUGCCGUAUACCCGCGGCUAGACGGAAAGACCCCGUGAACCUUUACUAUAGCUUGGCACUGAACUUUGAAUCUAUCUGUGCAGGAUAGGUGGGAGGCUUUGAAGCGUGGACGCUAGUCUGCGUGGAGCCACCCUUGAAAUACCACCCUGGUAUAUUUGAGGUUCUAACUCAGGUCCGUUAUCCGGAUCGAGGACAGUGUCUGGUGGGUAGUUUGACUGGGGCGGUCUCCUCCCAAAGAGUAACGGAGGAGCACGAAGGUACCCUCGGCAUGGUCGGAAAUCAUGCUAUGAGUGCAAUGGCAUAAGGGUGCUUGACUGCGAGACUCACAAGUCGAGCAGGUACGAAAGUAGGUCAUAGUGAUCCGGUGGUUCUGUAUGGAAGGGC